ensembl:lincRNA
AUGGCUCCCUGGAGAAUGCACUGUUGGGAACAAUUGUGGGCCAGGGAAACCCAGGUAGAAUGCUUUGCUGUGGUCCAGUCCCUGAGCCGUGAGAACGUCCUCCCCCAUGGCUGGUGCAGUGCGCGGAGUCCUCCCUCACCCAUGGCUGGUGCAGUGCGCGGAGUCCUCCCUCACCCAUGGCUGGUGCAGUGCGCAGAGUCCUCCUUCCCUCACCUGCUCUAUCUCCUCCCUCACUUCCACUUCCCAGAGAAAGUAGACUUCCCCAAUAAAGUUUCCAUGCCACAUCCUUAUCUCAGUAUCUACUUUAGUGGGGACCCAAAGACACCUGAGCACCAGCAAAUCUAUAUAAGAAUGUCUACAUCAACAUGGUUUAUAACUGAUUGAAGCUGGAAACAAAAUGAAUGUCUGCAAUGGAAUGUAUAUAUGACCUGGAGCUCAUUUAUUCAAUAGAAUGCUAUAUAACAAACAAAAAGGAAUGUCCAGGGCACCCGGACAGUGGGUUAAACCUCUGCCUUCAGCUUGGGUCAUGAUCUCAGGGUCCUGGAAUCAAGUCCCACCAUGGGCUCUCUGCUCCGCAGGGAGCCUGCUUCCUCCUUUCUCUCUGCUUGCUUCUCUGCCGACUUUUGAUCUCUCUCUGUCAAAUAAAUAAAAUCUUAAAAGAAAAAAAGGAAUGUCCAAAUAACAUGAAUCUCACAAACAUAAUUUUGAAAAAUAAAGGUAAAAUAGAGAAAAAUGGGAGCUGGGGUGGCUCAGUCAAUAAAGUGUCCAAUUCUUGAUUUUGUCUCAGGUCAUGAUGUCAGAGUCAUGAGUUCCAGGCCUGGCUUGGAGCUCCACACUCAGUGGGGAGUCUGUAAAGAGAUUCCCUCUCCCUCUCCCUCUGCUCCUCUCUCCACACCCAUACUCUCUGUCUCAAAUAAAUAAACUUUUCUAACAAGAAGAUAGAGAAAAAAGAAAUAUAUAGGGUGUUAUUUCACUUACAUAAAGUUAGAAAACAGGCUUGUUAAAAAAAUAAAACUAUUUUUAGGGAUGCAUAAAGGUAGUAAAACUAUAAAGAUAAGCAGAAAGUGAUUAUCAUGGACAUUAGAAUGAUGUAUACUCUGAGGACAGAAAGAUGAUGUUGAAGAAGGGAAUUGAGGGCUUUGGGAGGCUGACCAGUGUCUACUGGGUAACGGGAGCUUGGUUACAUGGGAGCUCACUUUAUAACUACUGAUCAAAUUGCAUAAUUAUUUUAUGGUGGUUUUUUCUGCAGGCUUUAUACUUGAAUGUAUGAUGGAUUAACAGAUACAAUAAGAGUGAUCUCUCUCUCUGUCAAAUAAAUAAAUAAAAAUCUUUUUAAAAAAUCAUAUAAUUUGUGAGAAUUGUGGUUGUAAUUACUAUCUC